rnacentral:rRNA from 1 species
CAAAGCACGUUAAGGUGCGAUGUCGUACUUUUUGUAGAACGGUCCGGCGAGUUACGUGUAUGAUGCGAGGUUAAAUACUGUGUAAGGUAUGAAGCCGAAGGGAAACCGAGUGUGAAUAGCGCGAAGAUAUAGUAUCAUGCAGUAGACCCGAAACCGAGUGACCUAUCCAUGAGCAGGUUGAAGCUUGAGUAAAAUCAAGUGGAGGACCGAACCGGUAUUCGUUGAAAAGGAUUCGGAUGACUUGUGGAUAGCGGAGAAAUUCCAAUCGAACUCGGAGAUAGCUGGUUCUCCUCGAAAUAGCUUUAGGGCUAGCCUUGUUUAGUAGCAUGUGGAGGUAAAGCACUGAAUAUGUGAGGGUUCUUACCAGAAUACCGAUCAUUAUCAAACUCUGAAUGCCAUGUGUGUAAGAACAGGAGUCAGACAGUGACAGCUAAGUGCCAUUGUCAAAAGGGAAAGAGCCCAGACCAACAGCUAAGGUCCCAAAAUUGUAGUUAAGUGGAAAAGGAUGUGGGAAUUCAUAGACAACCAGGAUGUUGGCUCAGAAGCAGCCAUUCAUUUAAAGAGUGCGUAAAAGCUCACUGGUCGAAGUAGGCCUGCGCCGAAAAUUACCGGGGCUAAACUACAUACCGAAGCUUUGGAUUUGGUACGUAAAGUAUUAAGUGGUAGAGGAGCGUUGUAUAAAGGUUGAAGCUAUACUGAAAAGAGUAGUGGACGAUAUACAAGAGAGAAUGCCGGAAUAAGUAGCGAGAGCACAGUGAGAAUCUGUGCCGCCGAAAACCUAAGGUUUCCUGGGGAAGGUUCGUCCGCCCAGGGUAAGUCGGGACCUAAGACGAGGCUAAAGCAGCGUAGUCGAUGGAAAGCAGGUAAAAGAUUCCUGCACUACCGAAAUGCGAUAUACAAUAUAUCAUGACGCAUCAGAAGAGUCUAAGCGAGCAAAUGGAAAAGUUCGUACCGCAAGGUGGAGUGAAAAAUAGUAACGAAGUAGAUAAAUCAGGUGACAAGAAAAGUGAUAUAGGAGCAUAGAGGUACUCGUACCGUAAACCGACACAGGUAGGAAGAAAGAGAAUUUUCAGGCGAACGAGAGAAUCAUUGUUAAGGAACUCGGCAAAUUAACCCCGUAACUUAGGGAUAAGGGGAGCCAAUAGCGAUAUUGGUCGCAGAGAAAUGGCCCAAGCAACUGUUUAGCAAAAACACAGGUUUCUGCCAAAUCGAAAGAUGAAGUAUAGGAGCUGACGCCUGCCCAGUGCUGGAAGGUCAAGGGGAAGAGUAAACGUUUCGAUGUGAAGCUCUGAACUUAAGCCCCAGUGAACGGCGGCCGUAACUAUAACGGUCCUAAGGUAGCGAAAUUCCUUGUCAGGUAAGUUCUGACCCGCACGAAAGGCGUAAUGAUUUGGGCACUGUCUCGACAAUGAACUCGGCGAAAUUGUAGUACUAGUGAAGAUGCUAGUUACCUGUGAUAAGACAGAAAGACCCCAUGGAGCUUUACUGUAGCUUGAUAUUGAGACUAGGUAAGAGAUGUACAGAAUAGAUGGGAGACUAUGAGAUAAGGACGCCAGUUCUUAAGGAGUCACCUUUGGGAUACCAUCCUUCUUUUACUUGGAAUCUAACUAGUUGCCAUGAACUGGUAAUAGGACAGUGUCAGGUGGGCAGUUUGACUGGGGCGGUCGCCUCCUAAAGAGUAACGGAGGCGUUCAAAGGUCAGCUUAACACGGUCAGAAAUCGUGUGAUGACGUGCAAAGGCGUAAGCUGGCUUGACUGCAAGACUGACAGGUCGAGCAGACGCGAAAGCGGGACUUAGUGACCCGAUGGUUGUGAGUGGAAAUGCCAGAGCUCAACGGAUAAAAGUUACCCUGGGGAU